rnacentral:lncRNA from 1 species
GAGGUUGCGAAGGGGGCUUGUCUAAGGAGGAGAGAUAAGUUUGCCCAGUUGUCUCAAGACACCCUGGCAUUCAUCAGAUCAGGGUAUAGAUCCUUCUCAGCUCCUCCUCCUGCACCAUGUCUGCUGGCUGUGCACACUGCCAUGUUCCCACCAUGAUGAUGAUGGACUGAAUCUCUGAACCUAUGCACAUCACCUGAACCAUUUUACCAAAGACCACAUCACCCCAGAACAGCAGCACUGAGAACUGAGCAAGAAGACAUGGACAGCGUCAGACCUCCGUCUACGAAAACGGCGUGGGGUGGGAGCUCACGGAAGGCUCUCCAGCCAGGAGCCUUGGCACCCGCAAUGCUUAAGGCUGUAGAUUCAGGGGUGGCUGACGGGGCUGAUGGGCAGCAGCCUCCAGCAGGCUCCUGGCAGAGACAUCUAACAGAACCAAUAAAUAACGCAGGCAGGUGUGUAUCACACAAG